AUAUGGGCUUACGAUGGUUGUAACGGGUCACGGGGAAUUGGGGUUCGAUUCCGGAGAGGAUACCUGAGAGAUGGUGUCCACUUCUAAGGAAGGCAGCAGGCGCGCAAAUUACCCAAUCCUGAUUCAGGGAGGUAGUGACAAGAAAUAACGAUGUAGUGUUCUUUGAAUGCUACUAUUGUAAUGAGAACAAUCUAAAUACCUUAUCGAGGAACAAUUAGAGGGCAAGUCUGGUGCCAGCAGCCGCGGUAAUUCCAGCUCUAAGAGUGUAUAUUAAAGUUGUUGCGGUUAAAAAGCUCGUAGUCGUACACAAACGUAUCGUAGCACUACCUCCAUCCCAAUGGGCUUGGAAUCAAGGUAAGUGUUAGAUACUAAAGGAGUGGGGCUAAUGGGAUCUCUCCCACGGGAGAAUCCUACCUACUUACAAUUUACUGUGAGUAAAUUAGAGUGCUCAAAGCACACAUAUGCGUUUGAAUAUUUCAGCAUGGGAUAAUAAAAUAAGACUUAGACAGGAGUCCGUUGGUUCUUCUGAUUAGGUAAUGAUCGAUAGGAACAGUUGUGACCGACUGUAUUCAUGGGUUAGAGGUGAAAUUCUAUGACCCCGUGAGGACAAACAAAAGCGAAGGCAUUCGGUAAGGAUGUUUUCAUUGAUCAAGAACGAAAGUUAUGGGAUCGAAGAUGAUCAGAUACCGUCGUAGCCAUAACCGUAAACUAUGUUGCUCCAGGAUCAGGUGAAGUUAUAUGAUGACUCUCUUGGCACUGUGUGGGAAACCAUCAAGAUUCGAACUCCGGGGGGAGUAUGGAUGCAAGUCUGAAACUUAAAGGAAUUGACGGAAAGCCACCACCAGGCGUGGAAUCUGCGGCUUAAUUUGACCCAACACGGGAAAACUCACCCAGUCCAGACACAACUAGGAUUGACAGAUUGAUAGCUCUUUCUUGAUUUUGUGGAAGCCGGUGCAUGGCCGUUUUUAGUUGGUGGUGUGAAUUGUCUGGUUAAUUCCGAUAACGAACGAGACCCCAUUUUACUAAAUAGGUACGGUGAUCAGGUACAAUAGGUACCAAUUGUGAUAACUGAAACCUUCUUAGAGGGACAAUGCGAUUAAAAGCACGCAAGGAAGCGUGGGGCAACAACAGGUCUGUGAUGCCGCUAGAUGUCUGGGGCUGCACGCGCGUUACACUGAUUCCUUCAGCAAGUAUCGAGUUUCCUAGUCUUAAAUGACACGGUAAACUUCGAAAGGGAUUCGUGAUGGGGCUUAUGGAUUGCAAUUAUUUCAUAUUAACGAGGAAUGCCUAGUAGGGGUCUGUCAUCAACAGGCCCCGAUUACGUCCCUGGCUUUUGUACACACCGCCCGUCGCUCCUACCGAUUAUCUCGUUGCUUAGAGGAAGGAGAAGUCGUAACAAGGUAUCUGUAGGUGAACCUUCAGAUGGAUCACU
rnacentral:rRNA from 1 species